GACAGAGGGUGCAAACGUUGCUCGGAAUCACUGGGCGUAAAGGGCGUGUAGGCGGGAAUGUAAGUCGGGCGUGAAAGCCCCAGGCUCAACCUGGGAACUGCACUCGAAACUGCGUUUCUUGAGUAUCGGAGAGGAAAGCGGAAUACCUGGUGUAGAGGUGAAAUUCGUAGAUAUCAGGUGGAACACCGGUGGCGAAGGCGGCUCACUGGCUCAUAUCUGACGCUCAGGCGCGACAGCGUGGGGAUCAAACAGG
rnacentral:rRNA from 1 species